rnacentral:rRNA from 1 species
GAUGAACGCUAGCUACAGGCUUAACACAUGCAAGUCGAGGGACCGGCGCACGGGUGAGUAACACGUAUCCAACCUGCCCUUUACUCGGGGAUAGCCUUUCGAAAGAAAGAUUAAUACCCGAUGUAAAGGAUGGGGAUGCGUUCCAUUAGGUUGUUGGUGAGGUAACGGCUCACCAAGCCUUCGAUGGAUAGGGGUUCUGAGAGGAAGGUCCCCCACAUUGGAACAGGGAAACGGUCCAAACUCCUACGGGAGGGAGCAGGGAGGAAUAAUGGGCAAUGGGCGGUAGCCUGAACCAGCCAAGUAGCGUGAAGGAUGAAGGCUUAUGGGUCGUAAACUUCUUUUAUAUAAGAAUAUGUAUUAGAUGAAUAAUGAUAGGCUGACUCCGUGCCAGCAGCCGCGGUAAUUC